AAUUUAAAGAUAUUUCUCACCUCACACACACUAUAUAAAGCCAUGACCAGAUAUUGUCUCAUUUCUCCUCUCUCUUUCUCUCUCUGAAGUCGGCAGGAUAUUCAAUGUCUCCUAGCUGGAGGCAAAUCCGCCAUUUUUCUCAAUUCAUCAACCUUCUCAUUUCUUCUACUCUCCUUUUUCUCUCUCCUCUUUUGCCGUGUUCAAAUUCUCCACUACCACUCGUUUUUCCAAGCAUCUUCAUCUCUCACAUCCAUGGAAACAGUUGAAAAAUCCUUAUUGUAAUUUAAAUCAAGAUUGUUAACAGAAUGUCAAAGGCACUUUUGAGUGAACUACUGCGAAAUUCUGAUCAAUAACACGCUAGUUUUCUGUGACAAAAUUCCUUUUGCAAGUUGGCACUGAGGGCAAGCAUGCAUUUGAAGGUAUAAAGAGACCCCUCCGUCUGUUUUUGAUGGUAUAAAAAUACGAGAUUCUAAAGCUUUUUAAUUUAGAUACAUUUUUCUAUGAAGGAAAAGCUCUAUAAGUAUGAGGUAUUUGAAUUACAGCUGUCUAUUCAUGCUGGAGAUCUUUAAGAUAGACUCCGUGAACAGUAUCAAAUGCAGGUCUUAGCAUAGUCAAUAGAGACAUCCCUCCUCCAAAGAAAAUUAAUUAUUACCUGGUCCUUGAAAAGCAUGGCACUAUAAUAAUCCAUUACUUGCAUGAUGUUUCUUAAACCUUGAUAUUUUACUAAAAGCUUUUUAAACAUGGACAAAAGCCAAUAUACAUAGUAGAAGAGAUUAGCACUAGAAGAGAGAACCUUCUAGGUUCUUAAGCACAAAAUAAAAAUAUACCACACCUUAGCAAUGAAAUUACUAGAAUGUAUUAAGACCUACAUGUACACUGAAAUAACUAACAAUAAGUUUUUGCAAAAAAAUGAUGCUUCCAAACCAUGUUUGUACGAUUGUGAGUUCUUAUUACUUGUAGUCUUAGAUUAGUUUUGAAAAGCAAGAUUGUCCAUGUUUGGUGGACAACUUGUCCUCUUUGUUGGUAAUUCUUUUUUUUCAAAUGUCAAUAUAAUCCUUUAUAAAAAAUAAAAACAAGAUUUAUUUAUUUAUUUAUUUAUUUUAUUUUUACAAAAAUUGAAGCUGCCAAGGAUGGCAAAUGAAAUUAUUGGUUAGUUUUCAUAAAGGCAAUUAACUCCUUUUUUUUUUGGAGGCAAUUAUCCAAUCCUACUGUUUUAUGUAGGGUAAGUAAUUGGUGGGAUUCUUAACCAACAUGAUGUUCUUCGAUUCCCAAUUAGUGUAACCAGAUUAAUAAUUGAAAUUUAAUUUUCAAAGUGGUAAUUAAAAACAUACUUCGAUUCCCAAUUACUGUAACCAGAUUGAUAAUUGAAAUUUAAUUUUCAAAGUGGUAAUUAAAAACGUAAUUUUGUUUGGAAUUUAGAAGCCUUCUAUAAUGACAAUCUUUGGUAUAAGAAUGAUGCCACUUUAUGUCAAUGUAUCACAACAUAUUUGAUAUCCUACGAUUUAAUAUUUGGUACCUUGGAUGUGAAAGAUAAUUCCACAUACUCUAUAUGUCCAACAAUUGGAUCGCGUACAUUUGAUGAUACCUUCUUAUAAGGUAGCUUGUAUUCAUGCUAGCAUAUCCGUUCACUCUUGUUUAUUCAUGCCCAUAAAAGUCUCUUUUGAAAGCUUUCUCGAUAUGAGGAAUUUCUUUGGUUAAAUAAGAUCAUCUAACUCUUCCAAACACUAUUCUUGACUUAGUCUUUCAACCCUAUAGCUGGUUUAUUCUUCAUCUUUUAAGGAUUGGUAAAAUGGAUCUUCUCAGUAGUUUUUCCAGCUCCUUAACAUGUUAUCAAAGCUCCUUAUUAUUCAAGAUGGACAUUUUUAUUUCUUGUUUUUCAUUUACACCAAAUUUGAUACCCAUUAAACCCUUUGUGUUGUCUUUUGCCUACCUAGUCUCUUGAAAUAAUGUUAUAUUGGAUAUUGCCCUUUUUAUGUUCCACCAACACUAAGGACAUGCCUUUAGUAGUCCAAUAUUCCAAGAGUGCACCCAACAUUUACUUUUAGACUUGAAGUUUUCAUUAUUGUUUGAAAAAUGCCACUCUAAAGCCAUCACACAAUCAUAUGGGUAAAAAAUGGUGGUUGUACAUACUUAUUAGUGGCCAAUUUUACCUUUAUAUAUGCAUGAAAUCAUAUGUUUUUUUUAUUUUUUUAUUAUUUUUUUUUUAAUAACUAUUUUUCCUUCUCUCUCUUUAAUCUGUAUUGGGAAUUUUAAACUUAGCAGGAUUAACUCUGGAUAUUGUUUCAUUGCCAACGUUGUUAGCAUUCAAAUUUUGACAUGUCAUUUCAGUUUUAGAAUAAUCUAAACACAUAAGGGCAAGGUAUAAUUUUUGUCUAACUUUGUUAAUGUCAAAUUUUGUUUGAAUUUGUGCUGGUCAUUCUCAAAGAGAUAUAUAAUAAAUCAUCUAUGGCUAUAUAUGAGAAAAUUUUUUUGCUAAGAGUUGACAUAUACGUAGAUUGGUAUAGAAGUUGAA